rnacentral:tRNA from 1 species
UGCGGGGUGGAGCAGCUUGGUAGCUCGUCGGGCUCAUAACCCGAAGGUCGUUGGUUCAAAUCCAACCCCCGCUACCA